UAGGGAAUCUUCCGCAAUGGACGCAAGUCUGACGGAGCAACGCCGCGUGAGUGAAGAAGGAUUUCGGUUCGUAAAACUCUGUUGUUAGAGAAGAACAGCGCAUAGAGUAACUGUUAUGCGUGUGACGGUAUCUAACCAGAAAGCCACGGCUAACUACGUGCCAGCAGCCGCGGUAAUACGUAGGUGGCAAGCGUUGUCCGGAUUUAUUGGGCGUAAAGCGAGCGCAGGCGGUCAAUUAAGUCUGAUGUGAAAGCCCCCGGCUCAACCGGGGAGGGUCAUUGGAAACUGGUUGACUUGAGGGCAGAAGAGGAGAGUGGAAUUCCAUGUGUAGCGGUGAAAUGCGUAGAUAUAUGGAGGAACACCAGUGGCGAAGGCGACUCUAUGGUCUGUAACUGACGCUGAGGCUCGAAAGCGUGGGUAGCAAACAGG
rnacentral:rRNA from 1 species